rnacentral:rRNA from 1 species
CAGCCGCCACGGUAAUACGUAGGUGGCGAGCGUUGUCCGGAAUUAUUGGGCGUAAAGGGCUCGCAGGCGGUUUCUUAAGUCUGAUGUGAAAGCCCCCGGCCCAACCGGGGAGGGUCAUUGGAAACUGGGAAACUUGAGUGCAGAAGAGGAGAGUGGAAUUCCACGUGUAGCGGUGAAAUGCGUAGAGAUGUGGAGGAACACCAGUGGCGAAGGCGACUCUCUGGUCUGUAACUGACGCUGAGGAGCGAAAGCGUGGGGAGCGAACAGGAUUAGAUACCCCUGUAGUCCCUGUCUCUUAUAC